rnacentral:lncRNA from 1 species
AUAUGCCUUUUCGGUAGCAGUUUUAACUGCUGUAGUUAAAACCAUAAUGGAAAAAAAAUCAGUCUUAUGUAUUGUUCACUGACUUUAGAAGUCAUAAAUAUGUAUUUUAUUAAAGUAACUGCAGGUAUUUAAAUUGAUUUUAAUUAAUUGGUUACUUUGAGUUAGGAACUUUCAUAUAAAGUAUAUAAUAUUUAAAUUUCCUGGUCAUGGUUAAAAAUAAAGAUUUUUUAAAAACCACACCCUUGGAGAUUAGUGUUACAUUAGGGUUGUAAUGUAACAGUUUUAAAAAAGUUUCUUUUAAAAAGCAGUUUCUCUCAUCAAGGAAUGUCAGUUGUUGAGGACUCAUUCUCUCUGUGCCUGACAUUCGUGUCCUCAGGAGCACAGUGGCAAGCUUUCCUUUAGCAGCUGCUGAGGAAAACGAGAACUCCUUUUCAUAAGUUUUUAUUUUUAUUUUUUUUAGCUAAUGCAUUAAUUGACUCCAGAAAGAGUCCAAAUGGAACACUGCUUUCAUCUGCUGGGGUAACCUAAUAAAAUAAUGUUGUUUGUUUUUAGAUUCCCGGCUGUUAAGGGGGUUUUGCUCAAGGCAAAACCACAGUCCCCUUGAAUAACUUUAGAAGGAGAGUUAAGAAGACACACUGAUUGUGCCUGUCAGAGGUUUGCUCCUUCAAGGGCACAGACACGCCCCCUGCACGCCAGUCUGGCCACCAGGGCUCCGGUGCCCACCGUUGCAUUGAAUCUGUUGGACAGGGCUCCUGCCCCUUUGGAGGCUGCUUGAUUCUGCUGUGGAGCACUUCUUAAGAAGAUUUAGAAAUGAACUCAAGGACUCAGAACCAGUUGUGCAAGCACACUGUCUAUGCUCUCCGGCUGCCUAUAGAAUGGGGAGAGGGAAGCGCAGCUUAAACAAAAAAGACUGAUGACGACAUGCUUCCUUACCUCUCAUCAGCCCCUCCUCCAUUCUUGGCUACUUAGGGCAGCUCUGUCUUUUUGGGCUGCUUUCCAAUGAGAGGGGGCAAGUAAUUCUGCUCCCAUUCUGGAGUGCCUGGACCAGUAAGAACUCAUUAAGUAUGAGUAUCAUUGACAUGCCAGGCAUGAUCUCAUUAAAUCCUUCCCAUAUCCAUUAAGGUAGGUACUAUUCUUGUCCCUGUGUCACACAUGAGGAAACCAAGAUUCAGAGAGGUUAUCUUGCUCACACUCUCUCAGCUAGCAAACAAGGGUUUGAAUCCAGAUCUUUGGCAGCCCAAGCCCUCUUCUUUCCCUACAAGGCUUUCUCAACAAAACUCAGUACAGGAAGUUCUUAUGAUAGUCUAUGCCCAGAAUUUCUUAUUGUCCCAUUUCUUAGUAUUGGAUCUAUCAUUCCUAACUUAGAUUGGAGGGGAAGGGUGAACACCAAUUAUUUCCCAUCGUAAGUGCAUUUGCUAUCUCAGGAUUCCACAGCCUGAGGACCAGGUGAAUCCUGACAAGCCUUUUGAGGUUCAUCUUAAACUAUUUUAUAGCCUGUUAAAGUCAGUAAAGAGAGGAUUAAGGUAAACUUGAAGCAUUUGCCCCACGGGUUUAAAAUUGGAAGGCAAUGUGGAAAAAGCAAAGAUAAAUUUACAAACUGUUACAGUGCAACGUGAUAUGACGUGAACUGAAUUGGACCAUCUUAAAAAUCUCUGCUAUAAUUAGAAAAUGUCCUUCUUCAACAAAAGUUGGAAAUAAUGGAAAACCAAGUUAAAAGUAAAUAUCUAUGGGUAUUUGGCCUCAAAGUGUGUCUGGAGGGAAUGGAGACAAUUUACAGAAUGUGGGAUUUGCUAGAAUUACUUCUGGAUAUAAAAUCUCCAUCACCACUAAUGGUUGGAAAGGUCUUACUCUAGUCCCAAUAAGUUAUCUUCUAUCCAUAAAGUUUAAGGCAGAUAACUAUCACUGCAUUUUGCUUCUCCCUCCCCCAUUUUUAUAUAAAUAAAAGCAAAUUAUUGACUGACCAACACCAAAAAUUUACAGCAUUUUCUUCUGGGCAAAAGGGAAAAAAUAUAUGUAUUUCAAAAUGUGAAUUUUUGGAGUUCAUCUGUGGCACAGUGGGUUAAAGAUCUGUCAUUGUCUCUAAAGCAGCUUGGGUUGCUGCUGUGGCACAGGUUCAACUGCUGGCCCAGAAACUUCUGCAUGCCAUGGGUGUGGCCCCCCCAAAAAAGUGAAUUUCUGUUUUGAAGCAGAAUUUACCUAUGUAAGUUCUAAGGAUAGAGAUAUGCUUAUCAAUUUGAGAAUUAAUGGAGAAUUAGCCACUCUAUGUAAGAAGCUGCUUUUAAUGGUGACCUAUUCCAUUUGGGCCAGCUCCAGUGUUAGAAAAGGCUUACACUUUCUUAUAGUAAGAUUAGAAAAAAAGAGUGAGGAUGAUGGAAAUUGAAACAGGCCUUCUUUUUUUCUUCCGAAGAGAGAAGUGAAGUGAUUGCCGAUGUUUGUUGAAUUUUAUUAUAUGGAAAGCAGAGAUUUCUCCACAUUUUCAGUCUCAGCUUAUGUCCUGCCUCACUAAGCUGUGUAUGUAUCACCGCUGAACUGAAGAAGCAGUUCACACUUGACCUGGAUCUUCAAGUUACUUGCGACCACUACUAAUGAAGUAAGUGACUUCUUUCUUUUUUAAAUUGUUUCCCUGUGUGAGACUGAAAAUAGAAAACCCAUCAUUACUGUCUCUGAGUACUGAAAUUGUGUCGUGCUUUUUCUUUUUACUCCAUUUAGAAAGUGUCUUGAGGAGUUCCCAUUAUGGCUCAGCAGUUAUGAACCUAAAUAGUAUCCAUGAGAAUGUGGGUUUGAUCCCUGGCUUCACUCAGUGGCUUAAGGAUCUGGUGUUGUCAUGAGCUGUGAUGUAGGUCAAAGAGGUGGCUCGUAUCUGCCAUUGCUGUGGUGUGGUGUAGGCCCACAGCUGCAGUUCUGAUUCAAUCCCUAGCCUGGAAACUUCCAUAUGCCACAGGUGCGGCCCUAAAAAGAAAAAAAAUUACAAAGGAUAACUACUAUGUUUUUUAUUUUUAUUUUAUUUAUUUGUUUUUUGCUUUUUAGGGCCGUACCUGUGACAUAUGGUGGUUCCCAGGCCAGGGUUCAAAACGGAGCUAUAGCUGCCGUCCUGCACCACAGCCACAGCAACACAGGAUCCGAGCCACAUCUGUGACCUACACCACAGCUCAUGGCAACACCAAUCCUUAACCCGCUGAGCGAGGCCAGGGAUCAAACCGGCAACCUUAUGGUUCCUAGUUGGAUUCAUUUCUACUGUGCCGCAAUGGAAACUUUUUUUUUUUUUCUUUCUAAUGGCUGCACCUGUAGCAUAGGGAAGUUCCCAGGCCAGGGACUGAAUCCAUGCCACAGCUGUGACCUGCACCACAGCUGUGGCAAUGCCAGAUCCUUUAACCCACUGCACUGGGUUGGGGAUUGAACCUGCACCUCCAUAGCAUCCUGAGCCACUGCAGUCAGACUCUUAACCCACUGUGCCACAGUGGGAACUCCAUAAGUACUAUCUUUUAUUAAAACUGGCUAAAGAUAAAUUUCAAAAUAAUCAUUAUCAUCAGAACCCUGAAAUAAUUAUUUAAAUCUGCUUUCAUCUCUAUAGACAGUAAACUCUGGUUUACUUUUUUCUAUCUUAAAAAUUAUACCUUUGUAAGAGUUCUGCUUCAGGCUAUGAUGGAAUGGUAAACUAAAAAACUGGGCAAAAUAUAUGUUACAGUAGCUUUAAAACAUUGAAUAUGAGGCAAAAUAGGGCUGUGAACUCUAAGAAAAAGGAAACAAACAAGGUGAGACCUACCAUUACAGCAGCUGACUGCCUGGAGGCAGUUUCCAGCCACUGUGCAGGGUAGGGGAAUCCAGACAAGACCCAUACGUCUCCCUGACUUGAAAAGACAGAUAUUAGAAAUCAGGGAGGCCAAGAUAGAAUUCUAAGGCAAAGUACCAACAGGAGGAAUCUUCUCUUAGAGACAGCUCUGGAGUUUUUCAGAGUUCCCAGAUCUUUGAGUAAUGAUCUAUGCAUUUGUGAGAGUAAACUAUGCCAGACUUUGGAAAACACUAGAAAGGAAGAAACAAAAAAAAUUCUGGAGCUCACAGGGGAUAAAGGGCUUGUGUUCCUACUAGCAGGAGGGGAAAUUUCAUAAUACAUAGAACAUCAGGUAGAAUCCUCAGAAAAAAUGUUGCGUUAUGAAUAGUGCUAAGUAAGUCCUACAAUAAAAGUUGCUCUGCACUUAACAAAGCUUAAAAGCAGACAUCACAAAGAUCUAACUGAUUCCAGGUCAUUUAACUGCUAGUUAGAUCAUGAUUUGAUAUUAUUAAACAAUAUAACAAAACCCCACAACCCACAAUGAAAAAUAAAAAAAUCACCAAUCAGGAGUUCCCAUCCUGGUGCAGUGGAAACGAAUCUGAUUACGAACCAUGAGGUUGUGGGUUCAAUCCCUGGCCUUGCUCAGUGGGUUAAUGAUCUGGCGUUGCCAUGAGCUAUGGUGUAGGUCACAGAUGCAGCUCGGAUCUGGUGUUGCUGUGCCUCUGGCUUAGGCCAGCAUCUACAGCUCUGCUUUGACCCCUAGCCUGGGAACCUCCAUAUGCCAUUUGUGUAGCCUUAGAAAG